ensembl:lncRNA
UCUGCUGCAAACACUCAGCAAGCUCGUAGAGGAUGGAGACAAUCUCUCUCUGCUGGAUAAAACACUGGAUCAUUGCAGUAAUGGAGUGUUUGAGUGUGAGUCUGAGGCUGUCUCUUCCUUCAUGGACCUUCUCAAUGUCUCAAACAUCUCCACAAGUGAGCAGAAUGCUGUUCAUAUGUUGGUCAGCGCUCUGCACACUCUGCCAGAUGAAGUGCCGCCACUUCUGACCUGCUGCAGUCCAGACACUCUGAGAGUGCUCAAUCAGCUGGUGGAUGGUCUGAAGGACGGUCGGGCCAAACUGCCAGAGUCCCUGCCCGUCCCCCUGCAGGAGGGAGGGGAGCUCCGCUGGGCGGCCGAGUUCAUCUGUUUGAACGAUCAGAAGCUGAAAGAGUUGAGUGACGGCUGGGACCGGCCCGAGCUGCCCCCAGAGGUUCUGCUGGAGGUUCUGUGCCUCGCUGUGCAGGGACUCAGCCUGAUGCAGCCCACAACAAACCCUUAAUGUCAGCUGCUGUGAUCUUUGUUAAUGUGCUUUUACAGCAGCCGAUGCUUGUGAUGGUUCAGUGUCCAGUCAGACCCCACUUUAAUCAUCUGGUCUCCAACCUCUUCGUGUUCAUUUUGAGGUUUUUUUUUAACAAGUUCUUCAUAAAUACUUUUUAAAUUCCUGGUUAUUAAAGGUUUGAAAUUAUGUGAGGGAACAAGUGGAACAGUUUUUCUAUUAGAAUGAAAAAAGAAUGUUUAAAAACAUGAAUGAUGAUGCAUGAUUAAGGCUGGAAAUAAAGUUAAUACUUAGAGAAUAGUUGUAAUUUUGGGGGCAAGUCAGAAAAUCAUACACACUGUAUGGAACAUAUAACAAUUAGAAUGAGCUGCCUACCUAUAUCAUUUUUAGGAAAAUCUCAUCUUAAAUUCUGUAAUCCUAAAGUGUAUAUGCUAAACGCUGAUCUAAAAUGGGAUUGUGCUAAUGAGAGCUUAAUGUCAUGCUCAGAGGUAAAAACAGGG